UGAGGACACAGCAAGAGGGUGCUAUCUAUGAGGAACAGGCCUUCAUCAGACACCAAAUCUACUGGCACCUCCACCUUGAACUUUCCAGCCCCAAGAAGUUUUCUUUUCUAGUUUCGGCAUCAAAGUUAUUCCAGAAUCACAAAAUGAAAUGUGAAAUAUUCUCUUACAUUUUCUCUUCUGUUGGUCAGCUGGAAGAAAGCAGAUAUUAAAUCUUUCCUAUUUGUUUGAACUUGCAGAUGUACAUGUACUACUCAUGUUUUCAUCAGGAGAACAGAAACACAUUAUAUAUUUCAAGAGGGAAUUUAACAUUGUCCCAUCUUUAUCAGCAGCAUGAAAAUGGACUAAUACACUGACAGUCCCAGGACUGGGAGUGAAUGAAACAGGAAAAAGCUGGUGGUAAGAUUUCUGUGGAGGGGCUGCUACCCUGCUCAUACUGGUACUGGAGCAGGCACAGGAGACAGCAAGACCAACUCCACUUUUUCUUCCUCCUCCUCAACGAAUUCAACCUAAAGAUAGGGAUGAAGACCUUUAAGAUUAUCCACUUCCACUUAAUGAAUAGUAAAGGUAUUUUCUCUUCCUUAUGAUGUUGUUAAUAAUGUUUUCCUUUUUUUUCUAGCUCACUUUAUUGUAAGAGUACAGUAUGUAAUAUACAUAAUAUACAUCAUCUAUGUUAAUUGACUAUGUUAUCAGUAAGGCUUACAAUCAAUAGUAGGCUAUUAAUUGAUAGGUUUUGGGGGAGUCAAUUGUUAUACCUGUAUUUUCAACUGAGUAGGAGGUCAUCCCCCCAAAUCCCCACAUUGUUCAAGAAUCAACUGUACUUUGAUGCCCCAUACAACAGAAUUUCCAUGGAAGGAGUUAAAACUGAACCUGAUCACUACUGUCUAUCUGAGGAGCAGACAAGAUCCUGUACUUGCCAUGUGCUGAUCUAGCAGAAACAUAGUGCAAGCACACAUGCAAUUAAAAAUUUCCUAGUACCCACAAUGAAUAAAAUAAAACGUGUAAAAUUCAUUUUAAUAACAUAUAUUCCUUAAUCUAUCCAAAGAUGCAC
rnacentral:lncRNA from 10 species